CAACCGCAUCUACAACAGCUCUCUACUCAAGUCCAACUCUUCUGAUUAUGCGAUCUUGUACAAACAAGUUACUGACAUGCUCAACUCCAUCUACGGCUGUGCCACGUGUAAAACACACGUGUUUUAUGGCAAUGUGUCAGCGAUGUCCUUCAGCAAUCAAACUGGAACCGUGCUCGUAAAGGCUAGUCUCGUGUUCCAGUCAAACAAAACCAACGCUGAUGAGAUCAAAGGGCUCUUUAUGAACGCGACCGCUGGCGAUAAGGAAAUAAACGGCCUUAAAGUCAACCCUAAUUUCACACAAGUUUCAGUGAAAUCUGAGGAGGCUCCGAAUGCUUUAGUGACUUACGAGCUCACCAUGGACAUCACCAACCGCAUCUACAACAGCUCUCUACUCAAGUCCAACUCUUCUGAUUAUGCGAUCUUGUACAAACAAGUUACUGACAUGGUGAGGUUUUAAUUUCUCCCAUUUCUCUCACAAAAUAUGAUGCUUAAUGAUGUACAC
ensembl:lncRNA